GGACGCGGCUCGUUUACUUUGAAAAAAUUAGAGUGUUCAAAGCAGGCCUUUGCUUGAAUACAUUAGCAUGGAAUAAUGGAAUAGGACUUUGGUUCUAUUUUGUUGGUUUCUGGAACCGAAGUAAUGAUUAAUAGGGAUAGUUGGGGGCGUUUAUAUUUCCAUGUCAGAGGUGAAAUUCUUGGAUUUUGGAAAGAUAAACUUCUGCGAAAGCAUUCGCCAAGGAUGUUUUCAUUAAUCAAGAACGAAAGUUAGGGGAUCGAAGACGAUCAGAUACCGUCGUAGUCUUAACCAUAA
rnacentral:rRNA from 1 species